UGUCUAAACUAGUUGACAUAGAAUUGAUUAACUUUGGCUGUGUGUGAAUUUCAUAUUAUAUGUACAGAAGCUCCAAGGAUCAUCCUAUAUGGGUUAAUGGAUACCUUAUAGAUUCUGAGAAAUAGAACAAGCAUUCCUUUGGCUAUAUGUGCACUAAAAAGAAAAAAGAAACAACUAAAAUCAUGCAUAUCACCCACAGCCACCAAAGAUCUCCAAGCUUUUACCAAUAUCCUCUCAAACCCAUUCGUUCCUCUUUUCCACCCAGCUUUGUUGCUCCCUCUCAUUCAUUCAUAGACACUUGAAAAUAGUGCAUAUCUGCUAAAGCUUUACAACUCUUUAAAUUCCUAUUCACUUUUCCUAUUAACACCUCAAUCCACACCAAAAUGACUAGUCAGCUUGUUUUCCCGCUAUCGCCAACAUCACCAUCUUAACACAACCUCCCAUAGAUCUUUCCUAUUACACAUUUUGGUAUCACGUAGAAUUUUGUUAAUAAUACAUGAAGCUGCCUAUUAGCUAAAAUCUCAUUAGUGAUAUACGAAGUACUCAUAAUUUAAUCAUUUGUAUAAAAAUUCUUGAAAUUUUAUUAACUAGAACUGGUAA
rnacentral:lncRNA from 1 species